UCAAUAUGAUGUUAUUCUGUUAUAUUUGCUACUUCAGAGGGCUCGCCCGAUGAGACUAAUUUUCCACCAAGAUCUCUGAUUGA
rnacentral:snoRNA from 1 species